CCCUUUUCGAGUAGUUCUGCAGAGGCGCUGCGGCCCCCCCACAUAUACCGUUGCACCACUACAGCAGUUGCUCUCUAAGCUGCAAGAAUGACAGCGGAAAGUGAUCGGCAGCGGUUUUCAAGGUACGUUUUAGAAAUAUCGCAGAUACAGCGAAAUCAUGUAGCGGAUAGAGUAGAGCAGCUCGCUCAUCACGAGAGCCUCUCGUGGCAGUACUUUUUCGGCUGCAUCGCUUUUUCCACCGGAAGUGUCCUGGCCGCAUUCAAAGCGUGGGGACCACGGCACAUUUUCAAAAAUAGCAUGUAUUAUGCGCGGCCCUUGCCUCCUGCCAUCAGCAUGGGAGUAGUGCUGUACGGAAUCACGUUCACAUGUCGCGGCAUGUUGAUGAGAAAUCGUAUUUGCAUCAUGAUAGAGGACUACGAGUACGAGUUGAAGCGAGUGAAAGCGCAUCACUGCGAAGAAGGGGUGACGCAGCUGGCAUGGCUUGAAUUUGUUUUGGAUCAACUGAAGCAAGGGUCGGAGCAGCGCUUCGACUUUCAAAAGCUGCGGGAGACCCCCGCGAUUCGGUGAAAAAAAAAAGCAUCGAACAUUUUGUGUUGAGCAGACCAGUUUUACAUAACUAAAAGGUCUGGACUUCAUGUUUUUGGUGUGCAAACUGCUUGAUAAAUUUUUGUGAUAAGCGUUUCUCUGGCUGAUGUUGCAAUUUUACUGCAGUCUGUGUUGACCAACGCGCGAGAAAAGAUAGCUUUGCUGUCUCUGCAGAGGCUAGUGUGAUGAAUUGGUUUGUGCAUCUCCAUCUUUCUUCCUUUCAUUUUCUCUUUUCCCUUUGCAG
rnacentral:misc_RNA from 1 species